AACGCACAUUGCGCCCGGUAGUAAUCUGCCGGGCAUGCCUGUCCGAGCGUCAUUUCAGCCCUCGACCCACUAUUCGCGUAGCUGGAUCGGUGUUGGGGCACUACGGUGGAAUACCCCGUAGGCUCCGAAAUGAAGUGGCGGUCCCGCCGCGGCGCCCCCAUGCGUAGUAACAUCUCGUCUCGCAUCGGGUCCCGGCGGAGGCCUGCCGUCAAGCCUAUUUUAAUCACAGAUGGUUUGACCUCGGAUCAGGUAGGGUUACCCGCUGAACUUAA
rnacentral:misc_RNA from 1 species